AGGUUUAGGUAAGACACGAGGAAGAACUUUUUCUCUCAGAGUUGUCUGCCCAGGAAGGUGGUGGAGUCGCCAUCCCUAGAAAAGUUCAAGAGGCGUCUGGACGAGGAGCUGAAAGAUCUGGUUUAGUUUGUGGAAGCAGUGGUGAUGAAAAUACGGUUGGACUGGAUGAUCUUACAGGUCGUUUCCAAUCUUGUGAUUCUAUGAUUCUAUGAUCAGAGGCACCACGCAGUCCCUCUCUGGGGACUAAAAAAUGGGUUUUUUAACUCAUUAUCUUUCUGCACUGUUUGAAGCAGUUGGUCUUCAUUGAGAUCCCACUGAUGAUGAGCACCUUAAGCCUUUUCUCAAGGUAAUGACUGAUUCUGUCUGUGGGGGCAACGGGACAAUGGCACGUGGCGGUGCUGCAGAACUCUGAGCAACUCCAGCUCAUGUCCAUCAGGGAGAAGAGCCAGUGCCUGCAGGAGAGGUUUCUCACCUCCCUAUCGCUCCUGCAAGAUGAGGCAGCAGCCUCACCCCCUCCCAUGUUUCUGCCCUGGAUUUCCACCCAUGCCAGCACGGCACCGUGUCCCGACCCCAUGCAGAGGUCCAUCUCCUGCGGUCAAAACAGCAAUGAGUCGGUACUGACGGCACAGGAGCAGACUUUGCUCGCCUAGAAAAUGAAGAAACCAGUGGAUUUGCGUUCGUUGCAUUUUACCUUCCCUUCCGUCAGGGCCAGAAGUACUUUGCUCUCUCCCACCUGGGUGCCUCGAGGGAACAGACACAAAGGUAUUUUGAUGCGGGGGACUCAGACAGAAGGAAGCGGGCGGCGCCGUCGGGAGUGAGCUCCCAUCAAAGAGACACGUUUAAUUUUAAUCCCAAAUAAAAGCCUUGAUCUCGC